AGCAUCUCUCUCUCUCUCCCCCCCUUCUCUCUCUCUCUCCCUUUCUCUCUCAAUAGUCCGGGUGGGAUUGGGUUACUAAUGAGGGCGGCGUUCGAUGAUGAAGCUUUUUUCCGGGAAUCUUUUCUCCCAAAUGCCUGCGGCCCUUGGCUGACUCCCCGAGGAGGACAUUCAUUUAGAUACCAGGCUGACUCCCUGAGGAGGACAUUCAUUUAGAUACCAGGGUGACUCCCUGAGGAGGACAUUCAUUUAGAUACCAGGCUGACUCCCCGAGGAGGACAUUCAUUUAGAUACCAGGCUGACUCCCCGAGGAGGACAUUCAUUUAGAUACCAGGGUGACUCCCCGAGGAAGACAUUCAUUUAGAUACCAGGCUAACUCCGUGAGGAAGACAUUCAUUUAGAUACCAGGCUGACUCCCCGAGGAAGACAUUCAUUUAGAUACCAGGCUAACUCCGUGAGGAGGACAUUCAUUUAGAUACCAGGCUGACUCCCCGAGGAGGACAUUCAUUUAGAUACCAGGCUGACUCUCCGAGGAGGACAUUCAUUUAGAUACCAGGCUGACUCCAUGAGGAGGACUUUCAUUUAGAUACCAGAUUUUAUCACGGGACUCGGGGUUUGUUCCCGAGGGAGCUGUUUAUCCUCCGCCUCGGGUUCAUCAGAGUCGUGAAAGAAGAAAAAGGAUUCUGCUAAUUCGUGUGUUCGUAUCCAGGCGGUUGUCAUGCACCUGUAAUCCACUUCCUGUCAGCCAGACAGCCGGGCCCAGCCACCCAGACCCAGCCACAGCGCUCCGGUCCAGUGGGUCCCCAUGGAGCCCAGUAAUGACGUAGCGUUGGAUAUCAUUAUCACCAAUGUGGUGGCUGUAUUCAGGACACGCUGCCACCUCAACCUGCGCACCAUCGCUCUGGAGGGGGUCAACGUAAUCUAUAAACCUGAAUAUGGGGUAAGGACAGACGCACAAUGGGUGGACUGGCGGCCAUUUUGAGUGUACACAUAACCUGUAUUAUUUUACUUAGCUCUUAAGACUACAGGAUUCUAAUAUCCCAUAACUCUUUGCAGCAAUGGAACCAGCUUUGCUUGUUAGCAACCUCAGAUUUUUUUUUUUGUAGACCUCCACAUGUCUGGUUUAUCCUUGGGAGCAAUUU